ensembl:lncRNA
CUCACGGCCAACCUUCGGCCAACUGCUGGUCGACCGGGGUACCGCCGGCCUCCUCGGCCACCAGGGCUCGCUGCGGACUCACGGUCACCCCGCUGAGGUCCUCCGCAGAGCUCCUUUCCGGCAGCUCAGCCCCGUACCUGCACUGAUACGUGAGGCUGUUCCUCCCCAUCUGGGAGCUCCAAGCUGCUGCCUUCGCUCUGUGUGCAGUGCCAGAGAUGGGUGAUGAACCGACACAGGAGGGCAGCCAGGUCCCACUGCGUGGCCAGGGAUGCUCCAGCCCUGCUUGAAUCCCACUGCAAAGCACCAACCAACAACUGUGUGGUGUGGCUAUAUACAGAGAGCAGGAACUGGAGGGCAAGUAUUUAUUUACACCACAGUGCUUCUCCUGCUGCUGGCUGGCUGUGCAGCGAGGCUGAGCCCCCACUAUUCCUGCAUGAUGUAUGACCAAAGCCCUGACCUCCUCCCUAUGCCCACACAUGUAUUCCCCAGGAUUAAUUCUGCAGAAAUGAGCAUGGCUGGGGCUCAGGCCCUGCAGCCCCUUCUGGUCCCAUGUCCUCUUGGCAGGUAUCCCGUCCCCAUCUCCAGCCCUCAGUGUAACUCACCGCCGGUCAGAGGCACAAAUUGCAAAGCCAGGCAUGCUAAGGGUAAUGGCAUGGAACUGUCACUGCUCUGCCUGAUGGACAGGCUCAUUCACAGCAAUGUAGGAUGGGGCAGAGCAGCAGAUGGGAGCUGUUGAGCCACUUGGAUUCAUUGCUAAGCUGGCUGGAAGACAACAACCAUGCUGCUCUGCCUGCUGACACGGCAAAGCCAUCCCCAUGCAGUGCUACAGCAGCCAUACAUCCCAUCACCACGAGCAG